CUGACUUGGGUAUAGGGGCGA
rnacentral:siRNA from 1 species